rnacentral:rRNA from 1 species
UGCAGAAUCCCGUGAAUCAUCAAGUCUUUGAACGCAAUUUGCGCCCGAGGCCUUGGCUGAGGGCACGUUUGUCUGGGCGUCGCAU